AUGAAGCUAUAUUCAAGGGCGUCACACAGGUACGACAAACUUGUCGGCAUGUUCAGUAACAAGCAAGUCCCCACUGUUGGCGUUGAUCUUGGAAUAGAAAGAGUUUUCGCAAUCAUUGAGCAACAUGAGAAAGAAAAUAACCAGGUUAUCCGGGCUAGCGUGACAGAGGUUUUGGUGUCGAUUCUAGGGAAGGACCUUAUAUUGGCCGCCGAGCUUGCGAAUGAGUUAUGGAGUGCUGGGAUAAAGGCAGAGUUCAAGCUCACCACCAGGGAGCUGGACCACAUAAAGUAUGUGACUCAGACAGGCAUUCCGUGGAUGGUGCUGGUCGGUCAAGGCGAACUUGAAAUGUGGCCACCUUUGUAUGGCCAAUGGCUUUGUAGGCUUUCAGUAUUUGGCGUCUGUCGCCGGGUUUGUUCCGCCUCAACCAGGAUCUUCUCGGCACUGCUCUGA
rnacentral:rRNA from 1 species